rnacentral:rRNA from 1 species
UACGUAGGGGGCUAGCGUUGUCCGGAAUCAUUGGGCGUAAAGCGCGUGUAGGCGGCCCGGUAAGUCCGCUGUGAAAGUCGGGGGCUCAACCCUCGAAUGCCGGUGGAUACUGUCGGGCUAGAGUGCGGAAGAGGCGAGUGGAAUUCCUGGUGUAGCGGUGAAAUGCGCAGAUAUCAGGAGGAACACCUAUUGCGAAGGCAGCUCGCUGGGACGUAACUGACGCUGAGGCGCGAAAGCGUGGGGAGCAAACAGG